GACGAGCCACCCAAACGUUAUUCGGAAUUACUGGGCGUAAAGCGUGCGCAGGCGGUUUUGUAAGUCUGUCGUGAAAUCCCCGGGCUCAACCUGGGAAUUGCGAUGGAGACUGCAAGGCUAGAAUCUGGCAGAGGGGGGUAGAAUUACACGUGUAGCAGUGAAAUGCGUAGAGAUGUGGAGGAACACCGAUGGCGAAGGCAGCCCCCUGGGUCAAGAUUGACGCUCAUGCACGAAAGCGUGGGGAGCAAACAGG
rnacentral:rRNA from 1 species